rnacentral:rRNA from 1 species
UACAGAGGUCUCGAGCGUUGUUCGGAUUCAUUGGGCGUAAAGGGUGCGUAGGUGGCUAGGUAAGUCGGAUGUGAAAUCCCGGGGCUCAACCCCGGAACUGCAUUCGAUACUGCCUGGCUAGAGUACUGGGGAGGAGAUUGGAAUUUACGGUGUAGCAGUGAAAUGCGUAGAUAUCGUAAGGAAGACCAGUGGCGAAGGCGGAUCUCUGGACAGUUACUGACACUGAGGCACGAAGGCCAGGGGAGCAAACGGG